GUGCCAGAAGACUCGGUAAUACGGAGGAUGCAAGCGUUAUCCGGAAUUAUUGGGCGUAAAGCGUCCGUAGGUGGUUAAUCAAGUCUAUUGUCAAAGCCUGGGGCUUAACCCUGGAGAGGCGGUGGAAACUGGUUAACUUGAGUGCGGUAGGGGCAGAGGGAAUUCCCAGUGUAGCGGUGAAAUGCGUAGAUAUUGGGAAGAACACCGGUGGCGAAAGCGCUCUGCUGGGCCUGCACUGACACUGAGGGACGAAAGCUAGGGGAGCGAAAGGGAUUAGAUACCCUGGUAGUCCACGCCGUAAACGAAGGGCACUAGGUGUUGCGGGUAACCACUCCUGCAGUGCCGCAGCUAACGCAUUAAGUGCCCNGCCUGGGGAGUACGGNCGCAUGCUNAAACUCAAAUGAAUUGACGG
rnacentral:rRNA from 1 species